rnacentral:rRNA from 1 species
CAGCAGCCGCCGCGGUAAUACGGAGGGUGCAAGCGUUAAUCGGAAUUACUGGGCGUAAAGCGCACGCAGGCGGUCUGUCAAGUCAGAUGUGAAAUCCCCGGGCUUAACCUGGGAACUGCAUUUGAAACUGGCAGGCUAGAGUCUUGUAGAGGGGGGUAGAAUUCCAGGUGUAGCGGUGAAAUGCGUAGAGAUCUGGAGGAAUACCGGUGGCGAAGGCGGCCCCCUGGACAAAGACUGACGCUCAGGUGCGAAAGCGUGGGGAGCAAACAGGAUUAGAUACCCCAGUAGUCCCUGUCUCUUAUAC